rnacentral:rRNA from 1 species
GACGAACGCUGGCGGCGUGCUUAACACAUGCAAGUCGAACGAUGAAGCCUAGCUUGCUAGGUGGAUUAGUGGCGAACGGGUGAGUAAUACGUGAGUAACCUACCUUUAACUCUGGGGUAAGCCUGGGAAACUGGGUCUAAUACCGGAUACGACCAAUCUCCGCAUGGGGUGUUGGUGGAAAGCGUUAUGUAGUGGUUAUAGAUGGGCUCACGGCCUAUCAGCCUGUUGGUGAGGUAACGGCUCACCAAGGCGACGACGGGUAGCCGGCCUGAGAGGGUGACCGGCCACACUGGGACUGAGACACGGCCCAGACUCCUACGGGAGGCAGCAGUGGGGAAUAUUGCACAAUGGGCGCAAGCCUGAUGCAGCGACGCCGCGUGAGGGAUGACGGCCUUCGGGUUGUAAACCUCUGUUAGCAGGGAAGAAGAGAGAUUGACGGUACCUGCAGAGAAAGCGCCGGCUAACUACGUG